UACAGAGGUCCCAAGCGUUGUUCGGAUUCAUUGGGCGUAAAGGGUGCGUAGGUGGCGCCGUAAGUCGGGUGUGAAAUUUCGGAGCUUAACUCCGAAACUGCAUUCGAUACUGCGGUGCUUGAGGACUGGAGAGGAGACUGGAAUUCAUGGUGUAGCAGUGAAAUGCGCAGAUAUCAGGAGGAACACCGGUGGCGAAGGCGGGUCUCUGGGCAGUAACUGACGCUGAGGAGCGAAAGCGUGGGGAGCGAACAGG
rnacentral:rRNA from 1 species